AGUGUGUAUCAAUCGAGUUUCUGACCUAUCAGCUUUUGAUGUUAGGGUAUUGGCCUAACAUGGCUAUGACGGGUAACGGGGAAUUAGAGUUCGAUUCCGGAGAGGGAGCCUGAGAAAUAGCUACCACAUCUAAGGAAGGCAGCAGGCGCGUAAAUUACCCAAUUCUAAAGAAGAGAGGUAGUGACAAGAAAUAACAAUACAAGGCCAUUUCAUGGUUUUGUAAUUGGAAUGAUGGGAAUUUAAAACCUUCCCAAAAUUCAAUUGGAGGGCAAGUCUGGUGCCAGCAGCCGCGGUAAUUCCAGCUCCAAUAGCGUAUAUUAAAAUUGUUGCAGUUAAAACGCUCGUAGUUGAAUUUCAAAGAAUCAAUAUUUUAAGUAAUACUUUUGCUAUAAGAUGCUUAGACAAUACAACGUAUCUGUUCUUUGCAUUCCUUAUGCAAAAUGUGUUCUUAUUAUAAAAAGGAUUCUUUUUAAAAUCUCUUUUGCUAUUUUUUAGUAUUGGAGAUUUUGUUACUUUGAGUAAAUUAGAGUGUUCAAAGCAAACAGUUAAAGCAUUUUUACUGCGUUUGAAUACUACAGCAUGGAAUAACAAAAUUGAACAAGUCAGAAUUCUGUUCUUUUUUCUUAUUUUGGCUUAGUUACGAUUAAUAGGAGUAGCUUGGGGGCAUUUGUAUUCAGAUGUCAGAGGUGAAAUUCUUAGAUUUUCUGGAGACAAACAACUGCGAAAGCAUUUGCCUAAUAUAUUUCCAUUAAUCAAGAACGAAAGUUAAGGGAGUGAAGACGAUCAGAUACCGUC
rnacentral:rRNA from 1 species